AACAGGGUGGCCUAGUGGAUAAAGCAGAGGCCUGGGUUCAAAUCCCAGCUCUGCCA
rnacentral:tRNA from 1 species